rnacentral:lncRNA from 1 species
UUGCUGAUAGUGAUAUGAUAUGCAAAAGCAUUUGCCUCCGUGUUAAAAUAUAAACAUGGGAGAUAUUGUUUCCUCUAUUCACAGUUGGAACUUUGUGCUCUACAGUCCAUGAUGGUUGUGCAAGAAAAAGAACUGCAGUUGCGGGAAGGAGAGUGCAGGACCUGCAAAUACAACUGAUAAUCCUGAAGACAUACCACCUGUGGAACGCCUGACCCAGGAAACAUUACUUCUUUGGGAAAAAAUUGCUUCAGUAGAAUCCCAGGGUCAAGAAAUUUCAGGAAACCAAAGACAACAAUUGCUGCUGAUGCUAGAAAAAGAUUAGUAGAUGAACAGAGUCAGCUCAGUGAGGACUUAGACGCAAAGAGACAGCUCUCUAGCAGUCUGGUGAAGUUCCAUGCUUAUCCAGAGAGUAACAGGAUUUCACCAUGUUGGUCAGACUGGUCUCGAACUGCCGACCUCAUGAACCACCCACAUAGGCCUCCCAAAGUGCUGGGAUUACAGCCUGCCAACUUUCAAACUAGAACUUCCACCAUCAUCCCUCCUGGUCCUCAGGCCUUCAGUCUCCAGCAGCAGCUAUACCGUCAGCUCUCCUGGGUCUCCAGCUUGCUGCCUGCAGAUCUUGGGGCUUCUCAGCCUCCCAUCAUCACAUAAGUCAAUUCCUUCUAAUAAAACUUCUUCUGGCAUCUAUAAAUCUCCUGUUGGUUCUUUUUCUCUGGAGAAGCCUAAUACAGUGGGGCCAUGGAUCAACCCAGAGAGAAAGUAGGAGUGAAGCAGGGAGCCCCAUCCUAGCAGCUGGAUCCUAGGGC